GUGGGGAAUUUUGCGCAAUGGGCGAAAGCCUGACGCAGCAACGCCGCGUGAGUGAUGAAGGCCUUCGGGUCGUAAAGCUCUGUCAGAGGGGAAGAACCUCCUGGGGGAUAAUAACCCUCAGGCCUGACGGUACCCUCAAAGGAAGCACCGGCUAACUCCGUGCCAGCAGCCGCGGUAAUACGGAGGGUGCAAGCGUUGUUCGGAAUUAUUGGGCGUAAAGCGCGUGCAGGCGGUUGCUUAAGUCUGAUGUGAAAGCCCUGGGCUCAACCCGGGAAGUGCAUUGGAAACUGGGCAACUUGAGUACGGGAGAGGAUAGUGGAAUUCCGAGUGUAGGGGUGAAAUCCGUAGAUAUUCGGAGGAACACCGGUGGCGAAGGCGGCUAUCUGGACCGAUACUGACGCUGAGACGCGAAAGCGUGGGGAGCAAACAGGAUUAGAAACCCUUGUAGUCC
rnacentral:rRNA from 1 species